UAGUGAAAGGUUGGAAAGUUAAUACGCUGGGCUUAGACGCUAACAAUAUACCCCGGGAUGGGGGGUGGAGUAGCAAAGAAAACGAAAUUCAACCAUUUAGGCGGUGGUUCGUUUGAACUUUGAAUCCUUAAACCCUAAUUCAAGCCUCCUGGAACCCUAAUCCGGACUCCCAAGAUAUAAGGCUCCUUAUAAAUAUCAUCGAAUAAGCCCUUUGUUUUCGUGAGCAGCGACAGAAGACGGCGAAGAGAGGUCAGUCGGCGAGCCUAUGCUUAGUUUUUGUUGUUGCAAUUUGGGUUUGCGUGUAGAAAUAAUGAGGUGUUGCUUUCGGUCUUUUAUUUGAUAGAAAAUGUAUUUCUCGGAAAUCCUCAACGUGUAUCCUUUAAAUCUGCACAUUAGAUUUUGUUAUAUCUAUCAUCUCCUGCUGUUAUGAUAUAUCACAGUUUUUAUUAGCCCUUCCCCCCCGAAUCCUUCCUAUUGACUUGGUUUUGACAGAUGUUCUGAGACAUCUAGUGAUGAGUGAGGUGGUAAUAUGAAAUUUGAUAAUCCUUCGAUCUAGAAGCAUCUUAUGGCUGCUUUUCCCGAAAAAGCUCAUUUAAAUCGAUGAUGAACUUGUGGUGACCUGGUCUUCUGUUUGGUUUGGACGUGUCUGCUAUACGCUUGCAGUGCUUAUGUAGAGGCUCAGCCAUUACCAAAUCAAUUGAGAAGGCCGGGGAUUGUAAUUGCAGCGAAUGUCAUCAAGUUGGAGCUAAUAUGAUUUCUGAUUUAGUUGAAUGAUUUCACUUGCGUAUAAAACUUUUAAAAGUGAGUCAUAAAUGUUCUUACCCAUAUAGUGAUUAGUUUAAUCAGGGAAUAACGUUUAAGCUAGACAUGACUUGGCUUAACUGUAGUAAUUCCUUGUUCAAAAAAAACCUUGCCUGCAGAGCCAGAGAGAAUGGACGAAGCACAUGUCAUGGUAUUAUUUGCAUCACAAUCAAAUAAAAUUGAUUUCUUUGUAGAAAA